rnacentral:rRNA from 1 species
UACGUAGGGUGCAAGCGUUGUCCGGAAUUAUUGGGCGUAAAGAGCUCGUAGGCGGUUUGUUGCGUCGGCUGUGAAAUCCCGAGGCUCAACCUCGGGUCUGCAGUCGAUACGAGCAAACUAGAGUGUUGCAGGGGAGACUGGAAUUCCUGGUGUAGCGGUGAAAUGCGCAGAUAUCAGGAGGAACACCGGUGGCGGAGGCGGGUCUCUGGGCAACAACUGACGCUGAGGAGCGAAAGCGUGGGGAGCAAACAGG